UACGUAGGUGACCAGCGUUGUCCGGAUUUACUGGGCGUAAAGAGCGCGCAGGCGGUCGUUCAAGUCGAGUGUGAAAGCCCCCGGCUCAACUGGGGAGGGUCAUUCGAUACUGAUCGACUUGAAGGCAGGAGAGGGAAGCGGAAUUCCCGGUGUAGUGGUGAAAUGCGUAGAUAUCGGGAGGAACACCAGUGGCGAAGGCGGGUCUCUGGGCCGAUACUGACGCUGAGGAGCGAAAGCGUGGGGAGCGAACAGG
rnacentral:rRNA from 1 species